UUUGGUCGUCGAGACGUUCAAA
rnacentral:miRNA from 1 species